GACGAACGCUGGCGGCGUGCUUAACACAUGCAAGUCGAACGGAAAGGCCCUGCUUGCAGGGUACUCGAGUGGCGAACGGGUGAGUAACACGUGGGUGAUCUGCCCUGCACUUCGGGAUAAGCCUGGGAAACUGGGUCUAAUACCGGAUAUGACCUUCCAUGUAGUGUGGGGGGUGGAAAGAUUUAUCGGUGUGGGAUGAGCCCGCGGCCUAUCAGCUUGUUGGUGGGGUAAUGGCCUACCGAGGCGUCGACGGGUAGCCGGCCUGAGAGGGUGGACGGCCACAUUGGGACUGAGAUACGGCCCAGACUCCUACGGGAGGCAGCAGUGGGGAAUAUUGCACAAUGGGCGGAAGCCUUAUGCAGCGACGCCGCGUGGGGGAUGACGGCCUUCGGGUUGUAAACCUCUUUCGACAGGGACGAAGCUUCGGUGACGGUACCUGUAUAAGAAGCACCGGCUAACUACGUG
rnacentral:rRNA from 1 species